AUGCUUAACUGGCAAGGGAGAUACCGUCCAUGAUCAUGAAGGUGGUUUUCCCAGGGUGAAGCUUAUCCAUAGCACUCUGGAUGUGCUACCCUUGCAAUUUCCCCAAGUGUGAGAGACUCGAUUGUAUAAUUUGUAGUAGUGGGGGGCUGCAUUCCUGCUCUCCCCUG